rnacentral:rRNA from 1 species
UACGAAGGGGGCGAGCGUUGUUCGGAUUUACUGGGCGUAAAGGGCGUGUAGGCGGCCUUUUAAGUCCUGCGUGAAAUCCUGCGGCUCAACCGCAGACGGUCGUGGGAAACUGGAAGGCUAGAGUGCGGGAGAGGAGAGUGGAAUUCCCGGUGUAGCGGUGAAAUGCGCAGAUAUCGGGAAGAACACCCGUGGCGAAGGCGGCUCUCUGGAACGCAACUGACGCUGAGACGCGAAAGCGUGGGGAGCAAACAGG